AUGAUUAAACACACAAAUGAACAGCCCACUGACUUACUGUCGUACUGUCCUACUGCCAUACUGCUUUACUACUGCCUUACUACUGCCCUAUUGUCCUACUGCCAUACAACCCUACAUCUUUACUACUGCCUUACUACUGCCCUAUUGUCCUACUGCCUUAAUGAUGUCCUACUGCUUUACUACUCUCCUACUCCCUUACCGCCCUACUUUCCUAUCCUGCUGCCCUAUUGUCACACAGCCUUACUGCCAGACAGCCUAUCCUACUACCUUACUGUCCUACAGCCUGUCCUACUGCCUUACUUUCCUACUGCUCUACAGCCUGCCUUACUGUCCUACAGCCUGCCUUACUGUCCUACUGCCCUACAGCCUGUCCUACUGCCUUACUUUCCUACUGCCCUACAGCCUGUCCUACUGCCUUACUUCCCUAUAGCCUGCCUUACUGUCCUACUGCCUUACUUUUCUACAGCCUG
rnacentral:lncRNA from 1 species